CUGGCUCAGGACGAACGCUGGCGGCGUGCUUAACACAUGCAAGUCGAACGGGGCGAUUUAAAAGCUUGCUUUUGAUGAGCCUAGUGGCAAACGGGUGAGUAACGCGUAGGCAACCUGCCCUCA
rnacentral:rRNA from 1 species